rnacentral:rRNA from 1 species
UGGGGAAUUUUGGACAAUGGGGGCAACCCUGAUCCAGCCAUCCCGCGUGUGCGAUGAAGGCCUUCGGGUUGUAAAGCACUUUUGGCAGGGAAGAAACAGCCUGGGAUAAUACCCCGGGCGACUGACGGUACCUGCAGAAUAAGCACCGGCUAACUACGUGCCAGCAGCCGCGGUAAUACGUAGGGUGCAAGCGUUAAUCGGAAUUACCGGGCGUAAAGCGUGCGCAGGCGGUUCGGAAAGAAAGGUGUGAAAUCCCAGGGCUUAACCUUGGAACUGCACUUUUAACUACCGAGCUAGAGUACGUCAGAGGGGGGUAGAAUUCCACGUGUAGCAGUGAAAUGCGUAGAGAUGUGGAGGAAUACCGAUGGCGAAGGCAGCCCCUGGGAUGAUACUGACGCUCAUGCACGAAAGCGUGGGGAGCAAACAGGAUUAGAUACCCUGGUAGUCCACGCCCUAAACGAUGUCAACUAGCUGUUGGGGUUUAUUAACCUUAGUAGCGCAGCUAACGCGUGAAGUUGACCGCCUGGGGAGUACGGUCGCAAGAUUAAAACUCAAAUGAAUUGACGGGGGUCAUAGCUGUUUUCCUG